CAGGCUCUGGUGGCUACAAACUGGUUCAGGUGUGGAAGAUCAUACCACUUUACCUUUGGUUUUUCUUUGAAAAGCAAACAACGAAAGACAGAUGAAAACAAGAAUUCUACCCGUGGGCAGGCAAGAAUUCUCUUCGGGAAAAGGGAUGUUUGUGGCUCUUCCACACAUUGGCCUUGAAAGAGGUUGUUUGCAGAGUGGCUAUUAUUAAAAUGUCCAAAAAAUAGAAAAUGCUGGUGAGGCUGCAGAGGAAAGGGAAUGCUUAUACACUGUUGGCCAGAGUGUAAAUUAGUUCAUGGAAAAAUUAUAAAGAAAGCAGUUUGGAGAUUUCUGAAAUAAUUUAAAACAGAACUACCAUUCCACCCAGCAAUUCCUUUACUGGGCAUUUACCCAAAGGAAAAUAAUUGUUCUGCCAAAAAUACACAUGCUCUUGCAUGUCCAUCACAGCAGUAUUCACAAUAGCAAAGCCAUGGAAUGAACCUAGGUGGCCAUCAGCGGUAGACUGGAUAAAGGAAAUGUGGUACAUAUACACCAUGGAAUACUAUGCAGCCAUGAAAAGAAUGAAAUCAUGUCCUUUGCAGCAACAUGGAUGGAGCUGGAGACCAUAAUCCUAAGCAAAUUAACAUAGGAAUGGAAAACCAAAUAUCAUAUUCUCAUGUAUAAGUGGGAGCUGAGCACUGGGUACACAUGGAUGUAAGACGGGAACAGUAGACACUGCAACUACUAGAGGGAAGAGAGAAGGAGGGUGGAAAGGGCUGAAAAACUACCUAUUGGGUACUGUGCUCACUGCCUGAGUGACGAGAUCAUUUGUGCCCCAAACCUCAGCAUCACACAAUAUACCCGUGUAACAAACCUACACGUGUACCCCCUGAAUCUAAAAUAAAAGUUGAAAUAAUUUUUUUAAAACAUAGGGCCUGGGCCAGAAGCGGUGGCUCAUGCCUGUAAUCCCAGCACUUUGCAUCACUUGAGGUCAGGAGUUCAAAACCAGCCUUGCCAACAUGGUGAAACCCUGUCUCUACUAAAAACACACACACAAAAAAUUAGCUGGGCACGGUGGUGCACGCCUGUAAUCCCAGCUACUUGGGAGGCUGAAUCACUUGAGCCCUGGAGGCGGAGGUUAUAGUGAGCAGAGAUCAUGCCAUGGCAUUCCAGCCUGGCUGUAGUUGAGCCAGAAGGAGAUAUUUUGUGUGAAGGCUGAGGUGGGGGCUCUUCAGAGCCUCUGUGAGCAGGAGGCCUAAGCCGUGGUGGUGGACAGAGUUGUAGCUUUCUGCCUCUUUGCCCUUUGGCAUGGACCCACAGGUGAACAGUACCAGCCUCCAUCCCCAGCACACGCUCUGCAGACCUUCACGUCUCACAGUUCCAUGUGAGCAAAUGGACUGGGAAAGCUGUGUGGCCUGAGAAAAGGCAAUGCCAUGGCCUGGCUCUCACACAGUAUUUUGUCUUGGAUUUUGAAAAAGCCUUUUUUUUUUUAAAUUUAAUUUAAUUUUUUUUUUUUUUUUUUUGCUUGUUUUGUGUUUUUGGUGGUGGUGGUGGUGGUGGUUUAUUUCACACUGACCACUUGGAACAAAUCCCAUGGUUAUCUGUGAUUUUCAUGCCCUGUUUCUGCUGGCAACCCUUCUGAGUGGGGUGACUCACUUUCCUGUAUAAAGAGUUUGAGUAGCCCAGGUAGGAGGUGGAAGCAGCCAUCUGGAAGGCCAUUGGGAUCCUUAUGUCUGUCUCUUGGCUUCAGAUAACCAGCUGGGCUUUGAUAGGAAUGAUCUGAAUGGAGACAGAAAACAGUGAAAACUAACGCUCCCCGCCCAGCCCUGUUUAUAUGAAGCAUUUGGUUCCUCUCUUGACUCUUGAGUGAUGAUGAGAUUCAGACGAGGCAUUGACAUUAUGGUAAGAAAGGGAGAAAAUGUAUCUGUCUUGUCUGUCUAUCUAUCUACUGGAUAUAUAGCUCCAAAAGCAGACAAACCCAAGGCCGUAAGGUGAACUAGGGUCUGCGUUUGGACUCCAUGAAAACAAAAUCCAUGUUGAACAAAGUGAUGUUUGUAUGCAGUGACAUUCUGGGUGACCCGUGUGUAUCUGUCCAUCGUGUGCAAGCCCUGAGCCCUGUUUCCCUCGGAAGAUAGUGAGUGGUAGCCAUCUCCUCACACGAACCACACAUGUGGAGCACAGAUGGCCCUCUCAAGGUCAGAGUGGGGAGCUGGUGUUAGCUGUGGGAUUCACUGCAGCGUCCUACCACAAAGGCAAAGAAGAUGAAAAUGCAGCGUGCAGUGCUGGGCUUGAUUCCCAAGUCGCAGUCGGGCUCCCGCUAUGGGUAGGAGGCUUUACACUCAGCCUGGGUCAGCACCGGAGCAUCCAGGCACUUCAGCUCGUCUGGGUAGUCAGCUGUGAGGAUCAGGAAGAGAUCAAAGAAAGUAGAAAUGUGGGUGAGGCCAGAGAAGGAGACAAUAAUCUGGGAUGGAACAUUGAAGAGGAACACUGCCUCUGGAGAGGACUCCAAAACAUGCAAGACAUUGUGAUUUUGACCUUGUUGGAUGCUGCACCUAAAGGUGGAUGGAAGAGGAAGAGUCUUGGGGGCUACCAUCCUGGCUGGAGAAGCUGGCACGAGGCUCCCUCUUGUGGAUGCAGCAAGGACUGUUAAAAAUCUCCCAAGGCAGAGACUUUUAGGCCUACAUGUACUUAGCCUCCUCUUCCCACCUCCUGUUCAUCUCUGUUUCCAAUGUUCCACUGCCAUCACUGCCAGGAAGUUCUGCAGAGAAGAAUGAAGAAGAACCGUAUGAUCCUAAACAUGUUCUUUGAAGAUAUUAUCAACCCACCAUUGGCCUUAUUUACUGGAAUGUUUUUAUAACCUUUAUUUGACACCUCUUCCCAUCAUUUAAAAUAAAUCUGGUGCUUCCCUGAAUAAUCUCUUGAGAUUUGUACAUGUCUCCCAGCAUCAUAUUUGUCCUUUUAACAAGCACACUCCUUCCACUGCUCAUGGCCAACUCAGGUUCACUACAAUCAGGGAAUCUAUGUCUUGCAACAAUCAGGUCUAUAUCAAACUUGAAUUUAUUUUCUUUUGUUUCUGAGAACUGUAAUUCCACUCCAAGGCCUAUACUGUACCCAACAGAGCUGCAUAUAUGUUUAACGAAAACAUGUCUUAGAAUAUUCACAAUACUUCUACUACUUAUGCCCUCAAACUGCAAACUACCCAAAUACCGGAGAAUAGAAUGGAUGAAUGAAUUGUAGUAAUAUUUAUUGAAUGCAAUAUAAUAAUGAUAAUGAAUUAACUGGAACUAUAUCCAAGAAGGAUGAAUCUCACAGACAUUAUGUUGGCUGAAAUGAGCCAAUCACAGAAGUGUACAUACUCUAUAACUGCUACAGAAAGUUCAAAGAACAGGCAAAACCAAUGCACAAUGUUAGAAGCUGGGAUUGCAUUUAUCCUGGGGUAGGGGAUGGGGUAUUGGCUGGAAGUAGGGGUGAGGAGGCCCUCUGCUGUUUUUGUUGUAUUCUCUUUAUCUGGGUGCUGGUUUUGAGGGUGUGUUCACUUUGUGAAAAUCCACUGAGCUGUAAACUUAUGUACAUUUCUAUAUGUGUGUUUUUAUAAAACUUACAGAAAACAAAGAAGAAAUAUAUUGCCGUAUAUUGAUUGGACUCUAUUCUGGGCUAUCUUGGAAACUGCAGCUUGAAGACAGCUAGGCCUCAGCAUAUGCCCUGACCUCCUGCAAUCUAAGCUCUGGAUCCUGGUCAACUUUGGGAGAAUAAUCAAGCCAAUUUUCAGAGAAGCAGUUUCUAUGUCUUUCAGGUCCUUGUGUCCUAAGGGAUUAGGAGCAUUAGGGACCUGGUCUCAGUGUGAUCCUGAGAGCUCAUCCAUUCUCUGGUCAUCCUUCAAGGAAAUGCCAGGCUCCUGAAUUCAUCUGCACAAACAGAGCUGGCCAGGCUACCUGCUGCCCACCAUCCCAUUGUCUUUCCUGCAUUGUUCUGGGACUCUGGCCACACUUACCUUCCAAAAUAACUGUGCAGUUGUCAUCAUUGUUCAGGAGACUAUUUUGGAACACUGGCUUAGCUUGGUGACGUGUAGAGAUCCAGGAAGGGCCUCAGCUGUCGGGAGGGAGGCCCAGGGCCAUCAGGGAGCUGGGGGUGGUAAGAAGUGACAGGGAUUGGGCUUCAGGAGGUGUGGAGGGGCCCAGGGGGAGCACCAUUUCUGACAAGUGUUCAGUCUUGGUGUGGAGAAUUGCAAAGAAAGAGGAGAAAGGAUUUGGGGGGAUUGGGUGCAGGUUGGAGGGAAGCUGGGAGGGGAGAAAAGAGUGAAGGAACAUUAGAUUGAUUAGUGCUGGAGGAAGAGGUAAGGAGAGACUUCGUUCACAGAGGAGGGGCUGGGAAGUGAGGGUAUGAGUUAAAGGGCACUAAUGGUAUGCUGACAUAUUGUUUCAAGAGUGGUUUCUGUAGCCUGGAGGACUUAAGGACAGCUGUUGGGAAUCUACGGGGUGAUAGAAAAGUAAGUGGGAGAAAGGGGAUGUGAUGAUUGAUGGGCAGCUUAGUGUCGAGUCAGGUGACAUCCUGCCAUGUUUAGCAAUGUAAUAAGUGGUCAGAUGACCUCACAAUCUUCAGGGCUGGGAGAUGGCAGAACCUUCUCACAGGGGUUGUGACAGAGGAGUUGGGUAGAUGUGUUCUCAGCAUAGAUGUGUUCUCAGUGGGCAAAGGUGGAAUUCCCUUCUCUUUUCUGUUUUCGCUUGACAACACAGGCCUGCAGAAACAGCAUACCAUGAGUUAAAACCCCUCAAUUGCAUGGGUUUUUGCACCCCCAUGAUUUGACAGGGUCUCUAGCUCUUUGAAAGUCUGCAACAAGACAGAAGAAAAGUCUGGGCUCCUGUGGGGGUGUUACAUGUGCUUGUGUACAAAUUAGCCCCCACAGGACUCUGCAGCUCCACGUUGCUCUGCUGGGCACUGGGGCCAUGUGCUCUGUUGGUCUAUGGGAACCUCUGUCUCCCUAGAGUUACAGUUUAAGAGAGGGGUUUCCAAAAAAGGUUGCUAAUGUCCCAGGAUUUUAUGGACUUUAAGUAAAACUUCUUUUUUUCUGUUGUACUCAGAAUGUUUUGAAGCUUUGUUCCUAGGUUACCUCACAGUGCCUGAAUUCUUUCCUUUCUUUUCUUAGACAUGGGGUCUUGCUCUCUCACCCACGCUGGAGCGUAGCAGCUAUUCACAGGUGUGAUCAUAGCACACCACAGCCUCCUGGGCUCAAGCAAUCCCCCUGCUUCAGCCUCCUGAGUAGCUGGGACCAUAAGCAGGAGCCCAUACCCAGCUUCAAUUCUUCUUUUCCUACAAUAAGUUCUGGUCCAGAAAAUUUUGCAACUCACCCCCGCCCUUCACUCCACAAAAAGACUUCCACUGGGAUUCCUGUCAAAAUGCCAGACUCACUUGAAUCCCUAGGAUGGAUCCAGCCUCGGUUUAAGUGCAGAUUCCUGCUUCAUCUCAGAGCCUGGCUGUUUUGAGGAGCAGGUGGUUUUACCCAUCCACCCACUCGCCCCUUGCUUCAUUGUCUAGGCCUGUCCUUUCUCACCUAGUGUCCUAAUCCCCUCCUCACUACCUCACAAUGGAGAAAGCUCUGUGUUGCUUUCUUUCAGGAUUUUCCUGCUUUUCAAAAGAGCUAGGGCACUAUGUGCUUUCAUGCAGGACCUAAGCAAAUAAGGACAUCUCAAGGAGAUGCCUAACUCUUAACCUGGUGCCCACCCCACCCUGGAGAGGACAGUUCUUGUUCAUAGUGUACAUGAUUGUUUAUGUCAAAGACCCAAUGAGUUUGCAAAGACCUCUUAGGACUAAUAAGUGAGUUUAACAAGUUUGCAGGAUAUAAGGUUAACACACACACACAAACAAAUCAAUUGUAUUUUUAUACAUCAGCAUAUUAGGGUUCUCUAGGAAAACAGAACCAAUAGGAUACACACACACACACGUAUAUAUGUGAGAGGUACACACACACGUGUGUGUGUGUGUUUAAAAAGAGCGAGGCAGAGAGAGAUUGGUUAGUUUUAAUGAAUUUGCUUGUGUGAUUGUAGGGGCUGGCAAAUUUGAAUUCUACAGAGCAGGCUGUCAUGGUGGAGACCCAAGGAAGAGCUGAUGUUGCAGCUCAUGCCUGGAGGCCGUCUGCUGGUAGAACUCCCUCUUUUCCAAGGAACCUCAGUCUCUCUUCUCAAGGCCUACAACUGAUUGGGUGAGGUCCACUUACAUUAUGGGGGGUCAUCUGCUUUACUCAAAGUUGAUUGAUUUAAGUGUUAAUCACAUCUAAAACAUUUCUUCACAGCAUCAUCUAGACUGGUGUUUGAGCCCAAACUGUCUACCAUGGCAUGGCCAAGUUGACACAUAAAAUUAACCUCAAGGCUGGGCGUGGUGGCUCACGCCUAUAAUCCCAGCACUUUGGGAGGCCGAGGCGGGUGGAUCACAAGGUCAGGAGAUUGAGACCAUCCUGGCAAACAUGGGGAAACCCCAUCUCUACUAAAAAUACAAAAAAAUUAGCUGGGAGUAGUGGCGGGCGCCUGUAGUCCCAGCUACUCAGGAGGCUGAGGCAGGAGAAUGGUGUGAACCCGGGAGGCGGAGCUUGCAGUGAGCUGAGAUCGUGCCACUGCACUCCAGCCUGGGUAACAGAGUGAGACUCCGUCUCAAAAAAAAAAAAAAAAAAUUAACCAUCACAACCAGAAAUGUGGAAUUGGAUAGGAAAAUUGAAAACCAGUACCACAUAGAAUACCAAAAAAUGAAAUAGAUAAACAUCUUACUGAAAGCUACAAAAUACCAGUGAAAAUACUCAAAGAAGAUAUAAACAAAUAACAAGAAACACCAUAUUUGAAGAUUGGAAGACUUAACUUUAAAAAGUUGCCAAUUCUGCCAAAACUGAUAUAGAGAUUUAAAACAAUUCCAGUCAAAAUCUCACCAGGACAUAUUGUUGCUAUAGACAAGCUGAUUCUAAUGUUUACAUGGAAAGUCCAAGGACUUGAAUAGCUAAAACAACUUUGAAAAAUAAGAAUAAUGGUGUAGGAAACAUGCUACCCAGUUUUAAAACAUACUACAAAGUUACAGUAAUCAGGACAGUAUGGUAUUGCCUGGGAACACAGAGCUCAAUGGAACAGAAUCGAGUCCAGAAAGAUAACUGCUUAAAUAUGGCCAUGUGAUUUUUGACAAGGGUGCAAGGGUAAUUCAGUAAAGGAUCAUAUUUUCAACAAAUGAUGUUAGAACAACUGAACAUUCACAUAAACAAAACAGACAAACAAGAAAACUGAAACCUUACAGCUUGUAUACAAAUGAACUCAAUAUUGAUGAGAUGUAAAAGUGAAGCUCUAAAAAGUUCAGAAAAGAACAUAGUAGAAAAUCUCUUCCUGGGAUUAGGAAAAGAGUUCUUAGACACGGUACUAUAAGCACGAUCCGAAAAAGUUGAUAAAUAGGUCUUUAUUGAAAUUAAAAGACUUAAGAUGCUAUUAAAAGAAUGAAAACAGUAUAGCCCAGGAGAAAAACUUUGCAAGUCACAUAUGUCACAAGACUUUGCAGAAUAUAUAAAUGGCAAAUAAAACACAAAAAGAUGUUCAAUAUCAUUAAGCAUUAGAGACUUGUAAACAAACCAAAUACACCUAUUAGAAUUGCUGAAAAAAGGAAAACCUUUGGUAAUACCAAGAACUGUUGAGAGCAAUUACAUUUUUUUUUUAUUAUUAUUAUACUUUAAGUUCUGGGGUACAAGUGCAGAACGUGCAGUUUUGUUACAUAGGGAUACAUGUGCCAUGGUGGUUUACUGCACCCAUCAACCCAUCACCUACAUUAGGUAUUUAUCCUAAUGUUAUCCCUCCCCUAGCCCCCUACCCCCCGACAGGCUCUGGUGUGUGAUGUACCCCUUCCUAUGUCCAUGUGUUCUCAUUGUUCAACUCCCAC
rnacentral:lncRNA from 1 species